CUUUGUACAACAUGUGGAAGAAUUGGCACGACACACCGGACAAGCGCCAGGACAAAUAGAACUUUUCAAGUUAAUGCAUUGGACUUCUCAAAAUGGUUGGAUAAACCAAGAAGCAGAGGCUUCUUAUGAAAAAAUGUUAGAAUUGCAAAAGCAACCAGUGCCAGAAGGUGGUCAAGCCUUGAAAGAGGCUGAAAUAUGUGUUCAAGUGUUAGGGUCAAGAUCUGGAUAUAUCAAGGGCUUAGGUCAUGGCCCUCGACCACCCUCAUCCUCAUCGAAAUCUACACAUAAGUCACAUCGAGAGAUAGAAUUGGAGAAUGAGCUUAAAGCAACACGAGAGCUUUUACAAAGUCAAGAGACUCGAAUCCAGCACCAGCAGUCCCAGAUAGCUCAAUUAGCUAGUUUUGUUAGUGAAAUGCGCCAACACAUGCAUAUUCCAGG